UCACUCCGCCCCCGCCGCGCCUCACAACAUCUCCCGCUGCAAACGGCCCAAUCGUGAGGCGCCCAGGGAGAGCUCGAGCCAAUCAGGGACCAGUGACUCACGCUUUGCCCCGCCCCCAGGAGGAGCGCCGCCCCUCGGCCUCCCCUUCCCACCGCCGCCCGGGUCUCUGGGGAGGUGGUUCACUAGCGCUGAUCCUCGCUUGUCUGGCAGGAGGAGAGCGACGGGCGCUCGCUGCUGGGCGACGUUGGUCACCUUGUCACCCUCCUCCUCUCCCCCUCUGUACGCGGCCCCUCCUCCCUUUCUCAGUCUUCCUGCUGAUGCUGUUGAGGGUCUUUUUUUUUUCAUCCUCACUUCAUCAGGGAACUGUUAGCUAUUGUGUCUGAUCGGCUGUCACCACCAUCCUGAGAGGAAAGAGAAGCAAACCUAGAAGCGUGCUACGUGAGAUUUGACUUCGAGGAAGUAGUAGAGGCUCUAACAGAUCUGAGUGGUUUCGGUUUGCAUGGAAUUCAGAAUUUUGAUGUGCCUCACAACUCAGUAUAGUUAAAGGCAUUCUAUCAUGGGACAUCCCAACCACACCUCUAAUGUGGCAGCCAGAUUUGCCCAUAGCCAUGGGCAGUGUGAAGCAGGUUUGCUGGAUCCCUGCAUGGAGACCUGAUGGAGC